rnacentral:rRNA from 1 species
GUUACAAUAAGGGCGUGUGGUGGAUGCCUAGACAUCAAAGAACGAUGAAGGACGUAGCAGCCUGCGAUAAGCUUCGGCGAGGUGGCAAGCAACCUUUGACCCGGAGAUUUCCGAAUGGGGUAACCCGUUCCGUGUAUGCGGAACAUCAUUAACUGAAUUCAUAGGUUAAUGAGGAAGACCUGGGGAAUUGAAACAUCUUAGUACCCAGAGGAAAAGAGAGAAAUAACGGUGAUAAAGUUGAUGGCUGAUCUUUAUUGAUCAGUUAUCCGCUUUAUUACUUUCUAUUCCCUAAGUAGUGGCGAGCGAAAGGGGAAGAGCCUAAACUUUACUUCUAGUUAAGCCAUAGGCACUAAAUAGUUCUUCGGAACUGUUUAGUGUGAUGGUGUAAUGCUCUCAAGGCUAGCACUGAGUAAGGCGUUGAAGGUGGUUACGAUUGGAGCUUGAGAAUCCGAGACAGAGUUUAUCUAGUUUAAUUUUCUAGUUGAAUCCGCUGGAAAGUGGAGCCAAAGAAGGUGAAAGCCCUGUAAAUAAAAGAAAUUAUCGCUCUGUGGUGAUUAACCUGAGUACCUCAGGACACGAGAAAUCCUGGGGGAAGCAAGUACGACUAUGUACUAAGGCUAAAUAUCUUUGAUGAUCGAUAGUGAACAAGUACCGCGAGGGAAAGGUGAAAAGCACCCCGGUGAGGGGGAUGAAAUAGUAUCUGAAACCACAUGUCUACAAAAAGUCGGAGGGCUAUGUCCGCCUUUGGCGGAAAUGCCCGACGGCCUGCCUAUUGAAGAAUGAGCCAACGAGUUUGUGUCUGUUGCCAAAUCUAACUCUUACGAGAGGGAGGUGUAGUGAAAGCGAGGCUUAACAGGCCAUUGUUAUUUUUUUAGUAAGUCCGCCUUUGGCGGAUUCACUAAAAAAUUAACUAGCAGCAGGUACAAGACCCGAAGCCGGGUGACCUAUCCAUGGACAGGAUGAAACCAGCGUAACAACUGGCGGAGGUCCGAACCCACUAGCCGUGCAACACUAGGGGAUGAGCUGUGGAUAGCGGAGAAAUUCCAAUCGAACCCGGCAAUAGCUGGUUCUCCCCGAAAUAGUUAUUGGACUAGCCUCUUAGUGGAGCCUGGGGGUAGAGCACUGGAUGAGGUGAGGAGGGAAACCUUACUCACUUUAACCAAACUCCGAAUACCAGGUACUCUAUACUAAGGGAGUCAGACCGUGGGGGCUAAGCUUCACGAGUCAAAAGGGAAACAGCCCUGGACCCUCAUUUAAGGUCCCAAAAUGUUAGUUAAGUGUCAAAGGUGGUAUUAAUUCUCAAACAACUAGGAGGUUGGCUUAGAAGCAGCCAUCCUUUAAAGAAAGCGUAAUAGCUCACUAGUCGAGAGUUUCUGCGCCGAAAAUGUAACGGGGCUAAACUAACUACCGAAGAUAGGGAUCCUUCAAGCUUCGGCUUGAGGGGUGGUAGGGGAGCAUUUCUUAGUCAUUGAAGCAGUACCGUGAGGAGCUGUGGAGGCUAAGGAAGAGAGAAUGUUGGCAUGAGUAGCACAAAGACUGGCAAAAACCCAGUCCACCGAAAACCCAAGGUUUCCUGGGCAACGCAAAUCGACCCAGGGUUAGGCGGUCCUAAGCUGAGGCCAAAUGGCGUAGGCGAUGGAUGAGCAGGUUAAUAUUCCUGCCCUGCCGUUGAUGAUCGAUGGGGGGACACCGUUUUUAACUUUAAGCGUUUUCAUGAUUUAGACGUUGGCUGCUAGCGUGUGGACUUCUUGGCAAAUCCGGAAGACCAUUAAACACAAUGGCGGUCAGAAGAUCGCGGCUCUCGGGCCAAGGUCAAUUUAAGGGGCGAGACGGGCAAGAAAAACCUCUAAGAGUUUUAAGUCAACGGUAACCGUACCGGAAACCGACACAGGUGGGUGAGGCGAGAAGCCUCAGGUGUACGAGAUAAUCCUCGUUUAGGAACUCGGCAAAAAAGCGUGCGUAACUUCGGGAUAAGCACUGCCUCCGUUUACGGAGGCCGCAGCAAAAGAUCUCAAGCGACUGUUUAUCAAAAACACAGGUCCCUGCAUAAACCGUAAGGUGAAGUAUAGGGGCUGAUGCCUGGCCAGUGUCCGAACGUUAAGGUGAGGGGUGCAAGCUCUGAACUGAAGCGCGGAUGAACGCCGGCCGUAACUAUAACGGUCCUAAGGUAGCGAAAUUCCUUGUCGGGUAAGUUCCGACCUGCACGAAUGGCAUAACGACUUGAGAACUGUCUCAACGAGGAGCUCGGUGAAAUUACAAGACCAGUAAAGAUGCUGGUUACCCGUAGUUGGACGAAAAGACCCCGUGAAGCUUUACUAUAGCUUGGUAUUGGUUUAAGGUUGUUUUUGCUCAGUAUAGGUGGGAAGCUUUGAAGUUCACUUUUCGGAGUGGAUGGAGCUAACGGUGAGAUACCACCCUAAGGCUAUUUUAAAUCUAACACUUGACCUUGAAUCAGGUAAGUGGACAGUAUCUGGUGGGUAGUUUAACUGGGGCGGUUGCCUCCCAAAGAGUAACGGAGGCGUUUACAAAGGUUGGCUAUUCCGGGAUGGAAACCCGGGAGAUAGUGCAAGCGCAUAAGCCAGCUUUACUGCAAGGGCGACAACCCGAGCAGUCGCGAAAGCGGAAGCUAGUGAUCCGACCGUACGAUAUAGGACGGCGGAAGCUCAACGGAUAAAAGCUACUCCGGGGAUAACAGGCUGAUCACGCCCAAGCGUCCACAGCGACGGCGUGGUUUGGCACCUCGAUGUCGGCUCGUCGCAUCCUGGGGGUGUAGAAGCUCCCAAGGGUUUGGCUGUUCGCCAAUUAAAGCGGCACGCGAGCUGGGUUCAGAACGUCGUGAGACAGUUCGGUCUCCUAUCCACUAUGGGCGUUGAAUUUUGAGGGAACUCUUCCCUAGUACGAGAGGACCGGGAAGGACGAACCUCUAGUGUACCAGUUGUCCUAUCAGGGGCAUCGCUGGGUAGCUACGUUCGGUUGUGAUAAGUGCUGAAAGCAUCUAAGCACGAAGCCGAUCCCAAGAUUAGAAUUCGUUAUCAGGCUGGUCAGAGACUAUGACCUUGAUAGGCUCUAGAUGUAAGUUCCGUAAGGAAUUGAGUCGAGGAGUACUAAUAAGCCGAG